rnacentral:lncRNA from 1 species
CUGUAAUCAAAAUUGAUGGUCCAACCCUUAUCAUCUCCAACCAAAAAAUCUGUUGCCAAAGCUGGAGUAACCACAGCUGCAAUUAGAGCUAGUGCAACCAAGAAUUUGUUUGAGGCCAUUGAGAAAAAGAUGAUCAAAUUGGUUGCAAAAGCUAGCUUUAAUUCUUUUUCCUGAUUAUUGUUAUAUAUAUAUUCCCCUUAACUGUUUGAUCAGGAU